rnacentral:rRNA from 1 species
UACGAACCGUCCAAACGUUAUUCGGAAUUACUGGGCUUAAAGGGUGCGUAGGCGGCCCGGUAAGUUGGGUGUGAAAUCCCUCGGCUCAACCGAGGAAUUGCGCCCAAAACUGCCGGGCUCGAGGAAGAUAGAGGUGAGCGGAACUUAGGGUGGAGCGGUGAAAUGCGUUGAUAUCCUAAGGAACACCGGUGGCGAAAGCGGCUCACUGGGUCUUUUCUGACGCUGAGGCACGAAAGCUAGGGGAG